rnacentral:rRNA from 1 species
UACAGAGGUCCCAAGCGUUGUUCGGAUUCACUGGGCGUAAAGGGUGCGUAGGUGGUGAGGUAAGUCGGAUGUGAAAGCUCGGAGCUCAACUCCGAAAUGGCAUUGGAAACUACCUUGCUCGAGGGUUGGAGGGGGGACUGGAAUACUUGGUGUAGCAGUGAAAUGCGUAGAUAUCAAGUGGAACACCAGUGGCGAAGGCGAAGUCCCUGGACAACUCCUGACACUGAGGCACGAAGCUAGGGGAGCAAACAGGA